GAUGAACGCUGGCGGCGUGCCUAACACAUGCAAGUCGAACGAUGAAACCGCCCUCGGGCGGACAUGAAGUGGCGAACGGGUGAGUAACACGUGACCAACCUGCCCCUUGCUCCGGGACAACCUUGGGAAACCGAGGCUAAUACCGGAUACUCCUCGCCCCCCUCCUGGGGGGCCCGGGAAAGCCCAGACGGCAAGGGAUGGGGUCGCGGCCCAUUAGGUAGUAGGCGGGGUAACGGCCCACCUAGCCCGCGAUGGGUAGCCGGGUUGAGAGACCGACCGGCCACAUUGGGACUGAGAUACGGCCCAGACUCCUACGGGAGGCAGCAGUGGGGAAUUUUGCGCAAUGGGGGAAACCCUGACGCAGCAACGCCGCGUGCGGGACGACGGCCUUCGGGUUGUAAACCGCUUUCAGCAGGGAAGAAAUUCGACGGUACCUGCAGAAGAAGC
rnacentral:rRNA from 1 species